ensembl:lncRNA
ACUUUCCGUCUACAAAAAAGGCCAUAAACACACACAGGCUGCAAAUUGCCACCACUCUUCUCCUAGAGACAGAUGACUUGACAAACAUCUGUCAUUUCUGCGGGGAAGAAGAGCAUGAAACUGAAAACAAAUGGAUUCAGUUUGAGAUGUGUUUGCAGUGGUUCCACCAGCUCUGCGUGAAAAGCCCACCACCAGAAGAUGUGUUUAUUUGUCUCGCUUGUACAUAGUUGACACUAAAGGUCCACAGCUAGUGUUCUUAUGGCACACAUUGUCGAGAACACAUAUCUACAUAUAUAGAUGUUAAAUUAAGAAGUCUAAAAAAACCAAAUGGUC